CCGGAUGAUUCACGAUAUUAUACCAAGAUGGCGCGCUACGCAGGAAGUGCUGUAGGUGCACAAAGCCGAAUUUAAAUUUGGUUUUUUGUAGCACAAAAAAGAGCGUAGGUUCGACAGGAACCUAAGGAGAUUUUCUUUCGGUGUGAGAAAACGUUGAAGAUGGAGUCUGAUCCUGCUAUACCAGGUUCAGUCAUGAUGAGAGAGGUGCGUGAUAAGCCAGCAAGUAGACUGAAGAAACUGAAGAGGAGAAUCUCUGCAAGUUUUGGAAGACUUGCAAUUUCCAAAGAAGAUAUUCUAGAGAAUGAUUCAGAACAGG